rnacentral:rRNA from 1 species
UCGAAAGUCUAAGGUUUCCUGGGGAAGGUUCGUCCGCCCAGGGUAAGUCGGGACCUAAGGAGAGGCCGAAAGGCGUAUCUGAUGGAUAGCAGGUUGAAAUUCCUGCACUACGACCAUACUUAAAAGAUGCAAGGGACGCAGGAGAGGAAGAUAAGCGAGGAAGAGGAAAGACUCGUACCGAAAGGGAUAGUGAAAAAAUAAAGUAACGAAGUAUCAAGAAUCACACUGACGAGAAAAGCUUGUAGAGCUUGUAUGGUAGUACCCGUACCGCAAACCGACACAGGUAGAUGAGGAGAGGAUCCUAAGACGAGCGGGAGAAGCAUUGUUAAGGAACUCGGCAAAAUAACCCCGUAACUUCGGGAGAAGGGGAGCCUAAGUAACAUUAGGUCGCAGAGAAAAGGCCCAAGCAACUGUUUAACAAAAACACAGGUUUCUGCUAAAUCGAAAGAUGAAGUAUAGGAGCUGACGCCUGCCCAGUGCUGGAAGGUCAAGGGGAAGUGUAAUGAGAAAUCAGAAGCAUAGAACCAAAGCCCCAGUGAACGGCGGCCGUAACUAUAACGGUCCUAAGGUAGCGAAAUUCCUUGUCAGGUAAGUUCUGACCCGCACGAAAGGCGUAAUGAUUUGGGCACUGUCUCGACAAUGUACCCGGCGAAAUUGUAGUACUAGUGAAGAUGCUAGUUACCUGCGACAAGACAGAAAGACCCCAUGGAGCUUUACUGUAGUUUGAUACUGGGUUUCGAUAAUUUAUGUACAGGAUAGGUGGGAGACGAAGAAAGUUAGGCGUCAGCUUAACUGGAGUCACCCUUGGGAUACCACCCUUAAGUUAUUGAAAUUCUAACCUGUGAUCAUAAGCUGGUCAGGGGACAAUGUCAGACGGGCAGUUUGACUGGGGCGGUCGCCUCCAAAAGAGUAACGGAGGCGCCCAAAGGUUUCCUCAGCGCGGACAGAAAUCGCGCGAAAGAGUGUAAAGGCAGAAGGAAGCUUAACUGGGAGACAGACAUGUCGAUCAGAUACGAAAGUAGGGCUUAGUGAUCCGGUGGUAGAAAAUGGAAUUGCCAUCGCUCAACGGACAAAAGUUACCCUGGGGAUAACAGGCUUAUCUCCCCCAAGAGUUCACAUCGACGGGGAGGUUUGGCACCUCGAUGUCGGCUCAUCGCAUCCUGGAGCGGAAGUACGUUCCAAGGGUUGGGCUGUUCGCCCAUUAAAGCGGUACGCGAGCUGGGUUCAGAACGU